rnacentral:rRNA from 1 species
ACGCUCGACACCUACGGGCAGCAGUUGGGAAUAUUGGACAAUGGAGGAAACUCUGAUCCAGUGACGCCGCGNGAAGGAAGAAGGUCUUCGGAUUGUAAACUUAUUUUGUCAGGGAAGAAAAAUGACUGUACCUGAAGAAAAAGCACCGGCUAACUACGUGCAAGCAGCCGCGGUAAUCUGAGCGGGCUGGCAAGGC